UGAAGUUUUGAUACAUGUGACAACAUGGAUGAACCUGGAAGACAUCAGGUUGAAUGAAAUAAGCAAGACACAAAAGGACAAAUACUGUAUCAUCUCACUGAUGUGUAAUAACUAGAAUAAGCAAACGUAUAGAUUCAGGCUCUAGAAUAUGAUUACCAGUUAUGGGAACAAGUAGCCAAAGCUUAAAAUGAAUAAAACAAAACAAAACCAAAAAGUCAGAAGCAGAAUUGGUCUCAGUGUUUCCCAAAGUUCGUUUUAGAGUAUAUUCCCUGAACUAAAAUUUACACAACUAUUUUUCCUUUAAACAAGUUACUAAAAGAAUAAAUUUAUUCUGAAAAAGGUAAAUCAGUGUCAAUUACCAUAGAGAGGUUCAUAAAAAAUCAGAUAAGAGAAAACAAAAAGUGCUAUUAAAUUCUGGCCAAGCGUUGCUGCCUGCUGGGGAGCCGAGAGCUGCUCUCUGCUGGUUUGCAAAGGGCUUUGGCCUCAGCAAGGGGUCGGAGGCCAGAGGAGGGAGGAGAGAGCCGGCUGUCUUGUUUCCCCUGUCGCUCCAAGUCCCGUGUCCGGCGCUGCCUCCGCCGCCCGCAUCCCCUGUCAGGCCCCUCCUGCCCCUGGGGGAGGCUGGCCCGGAGGCCCCGGGCAGCUCGGGGAUGGCCCUUCCCCCGACCCCCCACCGGGACUUCUGCAGCCCUCAGUCCCGACAGGAUUUGAAAGGUUUCACCUCCGGAAAGCUGGACCCAGCUCUGCUGAACAGCCUGUCAGUCCCGCCCUGCACCAGAGCCCUACGGGGCCUCAUUCCUGGCCUAUGUUUGCAGAUCCAUCCUUCCCAACAAAAGGCACUCACCCCCCAUCAGACCCCUCCAAGGGUGAAAACAACUUAACCCUUCACUCUCUCCCACCUGCGGCCAGGAUGCUGAGCCUCCCCCAGAGAGCUCUGUCCCUUGUCGCUGCCACGCGUGUGUCCAGAGACCCACAUGGUAUGAGCGGUGGGGGCAGGGCUGGGGGCUGGAGCGCUGUUCGGUUCACCCCAGCGGGGGUGCACCCCCAGCCCCGGCAGCCGCCGCCCCCACCCACGGCCUCCGCCGAGCUGCCCUGGGUCACGCUCCAGCUUCUGCUGCUCCGGUGGCGGCGGCUUCCGGCCGGGCAGGAACAUUUCUGGUUGAAGUGCAGGAACUAUGUAUCCUUCCGGCCCCUCGAGAGGAGUGUCAGCUCCGGAAAAUUACCAGGCCAGGAAGCACUUUUGAGAGCGAACUUUCCCCAUUUGGCUUCUGCAUGUGAGGAAACGCUAGAUGAGGUGCAGGCCCUGAGCUGGGCAUAAGGAGACACAGGGACACCUUCCAGCAAGCACAGCCGCACUCAACCACUGCCUGAAACGACUGCAACGGGUCUUAUGAGUCAGAGCCCCUCCCCCAGCCCUCCCCAGGGCAGAAAACACAAUGGCCACCAGCCUGUGGUGCCCAGGGCAGGUCUUCAGCUCUGGACUUGCACAGGUGAGCCCGUCCCUCCCUGAUGUGCACAGGUGAGCACCUCCCUCCACGAUCUGCACAGGUGAGCCCCCCUCCCCAACCUGCACAAGUGAGCCCCUCCCUCCCUGAACUGCACAGCUUUAGGUUUUUUGACUGGGAAGAGAUCAAAGCUCAAUUGGAGAGAGUUUUACUGUAGCCACGGACAGGCAGCUGAAGCCUGAGUGGCAACAGCCCAAACAAAAGUGGGAGUAGCUUUAUGGCUUUUGGGAGGGGGUGUUGGUGCCGGAAGGGGCAGGUCCUGAGCUCCAGACCUGCACAGGUGAGCCGUUCCCUCCCUGAAUUGCACAGGUGAGCCCCUCCCUCCCCGACCUGCACAGGUAAGCUUUCAUGUCCGUAGCCUUCGUGGAACCUGAGUGUUUGUCUCUCCCCUCACUGCCUGCACGCAGAGCCCCUGUGUGGCUGGAGGAUGGAAUUUCACUCCCCUCCAAGUCCAUCCCUGUUGCUGCUUUGGGGAGUCCAUCAGUUCUGUGUCAAACACACAGCAGUGCACAUAUUUACGCACCAUCAUUCCCCAAGGAGGGACCCUUCAGAAAGUCAUGAAUGCUCAGCUCUGGGUGAAGCACAUAAAGCUUUAUUAAUGGAUCCAAGGAUGAGCCAACCAGCCCGACGGGGCUCACCGAGGUGGAGGGAAGCCACGUGCAAGGCGGCUGCUGAAAGUGCAGAGCCUGUUGACAACAAUUAUUAACUGUGCAGCUUUGGCGGUGCUUCCGGACAGAAGACUUUGCUCCUGAGAGCACGGGGGAAGGACUGGAAACCCGGGCCCCAGUGCCUGCUCGGCUCAGACCCGUGGCAGGUUGAGCACCCCAAGAACCAUGGCCACAGCCCCUCACGGCCUGUCCUUGCUGCUCCCCCACUAGCUGGAGGCCUUCCUGGAGGAGGCUGCAUAGAGGGCAGCACCCGGCCGCCAGCCCCCAUGACCCAGUGCCCGCUGCCAGGGCCAGCACACAGGCAGCAGCCGGGCGAGGGUCCGUGAGCCAACACGACAACGUGGCGGAGCAGCAGGAAAGGCAGGGGUGGGGUCGGCGUCCCGGCUGGUGCUCGGGUUUAAAAACCGACCAGACGGCCUCACCGUCCUGCACUGACCUUCAGUGACUCGCUGGCCUCGUGCAACACCUGUGCUCCCGUCCCUGGCGUUUCCUGCGGCUGCUGUAACAGGCCACCACCAUCACGGCGGCGUCGGACAACCCACACCUAUCCCUUAAGGUUCUGGGCGCCAAAGUCCAACACGGGCCCCACUGGGCGGAAGCUGGGUGUGGCCACUGCUCGGGCAGCUGUGCUCCUCGCCCGUCCCCUCCCUGGGUCACCGGGCAGCCACUGCUGACCUCACACUCCCUCCUUCGUAACCCAGUCCUCUCCGCCUCCCAGUCCUCAACCUCGUCACGGGUUCCGGGGACCAGGACAGGACCUGCUGCCCCUCCACCCCUGCCCCGAGGUCUGUCCUCUCUGUGCCUCUGCCAGGCGGCGUCUGUUCUGGAAGCUUUCCACCCAGCUCUCGUCUCCUGCCCUCAGGGUCCCAGCCCAUCGUCCCUCUCACGGAGCAGCCCUCACUGGCCACUGCGGGCUGCACCCUUCAGCCCCCGCCCCCGAGGCACCCCUGCUGGUUUAUUAUCCAGCCCCUACCCCAGGCAAGGGGCUGCGCUGUCUCUGUCUCCCCAAGUGUUAUCUGUGGCCCACAAGGUGAGGUUUCACAAAUUUGGCUUAGGAUGAAAGAAGGGACGCCCAUUUCACAGGCUGGACACCAGGCACCAGGACCCCUGCCAGCAAGUGGUAGCCGGGGUCUGCACCCAGGUUUCCUGGGCCUUGAGCACCAGCCCAGACCCCUGCUCACCCCACACGGCCUGAGGGACUGGCCUCGCCUCCGGAACCAGGCCCGAGCCUCACUGCGGGUCUGGGGCCUUCCCCGAGGCUAGACCUGAGGGUGCGUGGACCCCACCCAGGUGGGGGGUUGUGAGCAGCCGUGCAGGGGUGCGGUGGCGGGAAAGGCCGGCACACGGGAAGGAGGGGAGCAGGGCCAGCACCCCUGAGGAGAGCUGCGCAUGCAGAAUAGGGCUCCCGGGGGGUGUGCAGGGUUCUCUAGGGAAACGUUUCUGAGGCAGGUGGUGCGGGGAGUGCAGCUCAAACAGGUGCCCCCUCUGCGGCAGGACGUGACAGGCCCCAGGGCGGCCGAGGCCCUCUGAGCUCAGAGGCUACCCCCACCUGUGGGUUGCCUGCAGGUGCGGCUGCAGGGUUGCAGCCUCUGACCCCAGCUCCCUGCUCCCGGGGCCACGCUGAGCCACGGGAGCCACAUGGAGCCACAGGAGCCACGCAGAGCCACGCAGAGCCACGCUGAGAUACGCGGAGCCACGGGAGCCAUGCGGAGCCACAGGAGCCACACGGAGCUACGCUGAGACACGCGGAGCCACGGGAGCCAUGCAGAGCCACUCGAGCCAUGCGGCAGCUGCCACCCGCCCCAGGCUCAGAGCAGCUGAGAUGUGGCCAGGGCCACCGAGGAACUUUUACCUUUACUUGAUUUAAGUUUUAAAACUGAACCCAGUUCAGUGAUCAGAAACUUCAGUGUGUUUAAAACAACUUAGGCAUGUGAAUGUACAUUUUCAAUUGUGAAUUUUGUGAAAUCUACAAAUCAAAUAUUUCUGAUAAAAAUUUUGUCUGAAUCGAGGUAUGCUGGAGGUGUAAAAUACACACCUUACUUCAGUCACUUAGAAAAAAAUAAACCCUCUCAUUAACAGUUUCUUACAUUGAUUAUACUUAUAUGAAGUGAUAAUAUUUU